AAGCAUCAUAUGACCCCUUUAAAGCCUCAAACAGAAUUUAUAUAAUAUUAGUUCCUUGAAAAAGUAAACUUUAAGAAAUAAGCAGCUUUAUUGGGCAUUUGUGGCCAAGACACAAAAAUCACAUUUACAUUUCUGUAUUUGGCAGACGCUUUUAUCUGAAGUGACUUGCAGUGCGCUUAUUACAGAGACCCCAAUCCCCCUGCAGCUAUUUGGAGUAAAGACAGCGCUGGUGACGACUGUGGAGAUCGAACCAGCAACCUUCUGCUCACCAGUUCACUACACCACAAAAGUAGUGGUGCUCAUAGAGAGCAGCACACAGAUGUUUGGAGCAGACAGCAGCAGUCAGAUUGUCCCACAUGUGUUCUUCUGAUCUUGUUCAGGGUUGUGUGGUUCAGCUGCAUCAUCAUGGUCUUCCUCAUCCUCUCUGUGCACUCAGACUAUGACAGUGUUGAUGUCCCUUUCCCAUCCAUGAUCAGAUUCAGUCUGACUGCAGCAGUGAGGGACGUGAUGGACAGCAGAGACAGGUCUCAGCUGUGUUGAGAUGACAACAGGAUGUGGUUUCACUGCCUGUAAAUACAUGAUUGUCAGAACAAUGUUUGAAUAAAGCCUUUUCAUGUGUUGUUGA